UACGUAGGGAGCAAGCGUUGUCCGGAAUCAUUGGGCGUAAAGCGCGCGUAGGUGGCCAUGUAAGUCCGCUGUGAAAGUCAAAGGCUCAACCUUUGAAAGCCGGUGGAUACUGCAUGGCUAGAGUACGGAAGAGGCGAGUGGAAUUCCUGGUGUAGCGGUGGAAUGCGCAGAUAUCCGAAAGAACACCGGUGGCGAAGGCGGUGGUCUGGGCCUGAACUGACGCUGAGGAGCGAAAGCCAGGGGAGCAAACGGG
rnacentral:rRNA from 1 species